rnacentral:rRNA from 1 species
GACGAACGCUGGCGGCGUGCCUAAUACAUGCAAGUAGAACGCUGAAGAGAGGAGCUUGCUCUUCUUGGAUGAGUUGCGAACGGGUGAGUAACGCGUAGGUAACCUGCCUUGUAGCGGGGGAUAACUAUUGGAAACGAUAGCUAAUACCGCAUAACAAUGGAUGACACAUGUCAUUUAUUUGAAAGGGGCAAUUGCUCCACUACAAGAUGGACCUGCGUUGUAUUAGCUAGUAGGUGAGGUAAUGGCUCACCUAGGCGACGAUACAUAGCCGACCUGAGAGGGUGAUCGGCCACACUGGGACUGAGACACGGCCCAGACUCCUACGGGAGGCAGCAGUAGGGAAUCUUCGGCAAUGGGGGCAAGCCUGACCGAGCAACGCCGCGUGAGUGAAGAAGGUUUUCGGAUCGUAAAGCUCUGUUGUAAGUCAAGAACGAGUGUGAGAGUGGAAAGUUCACACUGUGACGGUAGCUUACCAGAAAGGGACGGCUAACUACGUG